CAAAAGGUAGUUUAAAAAUAAAAUGUUAACUUUGGGAGUUAGGGAUAAUAGUUUUCUUUUGA
rnacentral:tRNA from 1 species